rnacentral:rRNA from 1 species
UACGUAGGGGGCAAGCGUUGUCCGGAAUUAUUGGGCGUAAAGAGCAUGUAGGCGGUCCGGUAAGUCAGCUGUGAAAGUCAAGGGCUCAACCCUUGAAUGCCGGUUGAUACUGUCGGGCUAGAGUCCGGAAGAGGCGAGUGGAAUUCCCGGUGUAGCGGUGAAAUGCGCAGAUAUCGGGAGGAACACCGGUGGCGAAGGCGGUUCUCUGGGCCUGUUCUGACGCUGAGGAGCGAAAGCGUGGGGAGCAAACAGG